rnacentral:rRNA from 1 species
AGUGAACGCUGGCGGUAGGCCUAACACAUGCAAGUCGAACGGCAGCACAGUAAGAGCUUGCUCUUACGGGUGGCGAGUGGCGGACGGGUGAGGAAUACAUCGGAAUCUACUUUUUCGUGGGGGAUAACGUAGGGAAACUUACGCUAAUACCGCAUACGACCUACGGGUGAAAGCAGGGGAUCUUCGGACCUUGCGCGAUUGAAUGAGCCGAUGUCGGAUUAGCUAGUUGGCGGGGUAAAGGCCCACCAAGGCGACGAUCCGUAGCUGGUCUGAGAGGAUGGUCAGCCGCCUUGGAGGGUGACCGGGGUCCGUGGUCCUACGGGAGGGCCCAGUGUGGAAUGGUGGGCAGUGGGGGCGAGCCUUGCCCAGUCGGCGGGCGUCGGUUAAAAAAACCUUCGGUUCGUAAUGCCGUUGUGUGGGUAAAAAAAAGCAGCAGGCUAAUACGCAGCUUGACUGACGGUACCGAGUAAAUAAGCACCGGCUAACUACGUG